rnacentral:rRNA from 1 species
CCUACGGGUGGCAGCAGUGAGGAAUAUUGCACAAUGGGGGCCACCCUGAUGCAGCGACGCCGCGUGAAUGAAGAAGUAUCUCGGUACGUAAAGCUCUAUCCGCAGGGAAGUAAAUGACGGUACCUGACUAAGAAGCCACGGCUAACUACGUGACAGCAGCCGCGGUAAUACGUAGGGGGCCAGCGUUAUACGGAUUUACUGGGUGUAAAGGGAGCGUAGACGGCGGGGCAAGUCUGGAGGGAAAGCCCAUGGCUUAACCAUGGAACUGCUUUGGAAACUGUGCAGCUAGAGUGCAGGUGAGGUAGGCGGAAUUCCUGGUGUAGCGGUGAAAUGCGUAGAUAUUAGGAGGAACACCAGUGGCGAAGGCGGCUUACUGGACUGUAACUGACGUUGAGGCUCGAAAGCGUGGGGAGCAAACAGGAUUAGAUACCCGUGUAGUC